rnacentral:rRNA from 1 species
GACGAACGCUGGCGGCGUGCUUAACACAUGCAAGUCGAACGGAAAGGCCCUGCUUUUGUGGGGUGCUCGAGUGGCGAACGGGUGAGUAACACGUGAGUAACCUGCCCUUGACUUUGGGAUAACUUCAGGAAACUGGGGCUAAUACCGGAUAGGAGCUCCUGCUGCAUGGUGGGGGUUGGAAAGUUUCGGCGGUUGGGGAUGGACUCGCGGCUUAUCAGCUUGUUGGUGGGGUAGUGGCUUACCAGGGCUUUGACGGGUAGCCGGCCUGAGAGGGUGACCGGCCGCAUUGGGACUGAGAUACGGCCCAGACUCCUACGGGAGGCAGCAGUGGGGAAUAUUGCACAAUGGGCGGAAGCCUGAUGCAGCAACGCCGCGUGCGGGAUGACGGCCUUCGGGUUGUAAACCGCUUUCGCCUGUGACGAAGCGUGAGUGACGGUAAUGGGUAAAGAAGCACCGGCUAACUACGU